GCGAAAGCAUUAGAACGAAGGGACAUUGUAAUACGGGAUGAAGUAUGGUUGCGAUCUCUGGCUGAAUUCAACAUCAGUAGAUCUAACCAUCUGGCAAAACAGAUUUUAGGUAUGACAGAUUGUUUGAUAGCAAGAGUCGAGAAGUGGGAAAAGAACUCCUGUUACACCUUUGAAUUUGAUGGAAAACACCUGAUGGAAAUGCUAUUAAAUGAAAGUGAAAAGAAACACCUGACGGCAAUGCUAUUGAAUGAAGAUGAAGGUAAUGAUGCCCAGGAACAUGCGGCAUUUGAUCUACUAUCUGUUCUUCCUCAACAUACCCCGGUUUCCUCGCACCCCAAGGGCGCCAGUGCCACAAGCUGAUCUACCUGCGCCUCAGCUCAUUCUGGAGGAACCAUCGCCUGUGAUCCUGGCUGAUAUACCUGCGCCCCAGCUCAUUCAAGAGGAACCAACGAACCCCAACGGUGCUGAAUUCUGGAGUGAAUCCUCGAGUGGCUCAAGUGAGGAUGAGUCCGCUGACAGUGAUUACCAUCCUGUGAAAUGACAGGUACAUAUAACAAGCUCAAUUACCAGAGAUGCUUUUGUUUGUAGAUGUAGGACUUCUUGCAGUUAUAUUACUACAAAGCUCUAUGCUACUUCCUCCGCUCGUGAA